rnacentral:rRNA from 1 species
AUUGAACGCUGGCGGCAGGCCUAACACAUGCAAGUCGAGCGAGCGGCGGACGGGUGAGUAAUGUCUGGGAAACUGCCGGAUGGAGGGGGAUAACUACUGGAAACGGUAGCUAAUACCGCAUACCCUACGAUGUGCCCAGAUGGGAUUGGCUAGUAGGUGGGGUAACAGCUCACCUAGGCGACGAUCCCUAGCGGGUCUGAGAGGAUGACCAGCCACACUGGAACUGAGACACGGUCCGUAUUCCUACGGGAGGCAGCAGUGGGGAAUUUUGCACAAUGGGCGCAAGCCUGAUGCAGCCAUGCCGCGUGUGUGAAGAAGGCUUUCGGGUUGUAAAGCACUGUCAGCGGGGAGGCGUUACCCGCAGAAGAAGCAACGGCUAACUCCGUGCCAGCAGCCGCGGUAAUAC